rnacentral:rRNA from 1 species
UACAGAGGUGGCAAGCGUUGUUCGGAAUUACUGGGCGUAAAGGGCGCGUAGGCGGCCAUCUAAGUCAGACGUGAAAUCCCCCGGCUUAACCUGGGAACUGCGUCUGAUACUGGAAGGCUUGAGUUUGGGAGAGGGAUGCAGAAUUCCAGGUGUAGCGGUGAAAUGCGUAGAUAUUUGGAGGAAUACCGGUGGCGAAGGCGGCAUCCUGGACUAACACUGACGCUGAGGCGCGAAAGCUAGGGGAGCAAACGGG